rnacentral:rRNA from 1 species
AGGACGAACGCUGGCGGCGUGCCUAAUACAUGCAAGUCGGACGGCUUUCUAUGGAAGCUUGCUUCCACUGAGAAGAUAGUGGCGAACGAGUGAGUAACACGUGGGUAACCUGCCCAUAAGAGGGGGAUAACAUCCGGAAACGGGUGCUAAUACCGCAUAGUUUUCUUGAUCGCAUGAUCGGGAAAGGAAAGACGGCCUUUGUGCUGUCGCUUAUGGAUGGACCCGCGGCGUAUUAGUUAGUUGGUGAGGUAACGGCUCACCAAGACGAUGAUACGUAGCCGACCUGAGAGGGUGAUCGGCCACAUUGGGACUGAGACACGGCCCAAACUCCUACGGGAGGCAGCAGUAGGGAAUCUUCCGCAAUGGACGAAAGUCUGACGGAGCAACGCCGCGUGAGUGAAGAAAAGGGUUUUCGGAUCGUAAAACUCUGUUGUCAGAGAAGAACAAGUUGGAGAGUAACUGCUCCAGCCUUGACGGUAUCUGACCAGAAAGCCACGGCUAACUACGUGCCAGCAGCCGC